AAAGGUGUUCGAUGAAAUGUCUG
rnacentral:siRNA from 1 species